UUCCAAGUCAUCAGCUAAUCGGC
rnacentral:misc_RNA from 1 species